GUGAGCAUGGCCCAGCUGGGAGAGCAUGCCUCUGUGCCCCCACUGCAUCUGUCACCCACCUGGGUCUGGGGAGUGCGCAGGACCCUGAGCCUCACCCAGGGACAGGAGUGGGAGGCCUGGCAUGGGCUGGGCAUGUGGAUCUCAGUCACCUUGCCAGCCCCUGUGCAGCACUCUUGGGUGUGAGGACCCCUGCCUGGAUGCACGGGAGAGAGGCUGGGGCAAGGCCAGCGGGUCUCCUACCCUGUGUGAUGCCAGGACAGGUGACUGUGGGCCGGAGCAGGGUGAGGACGGCAGGGAGCCUCGGGCAGAGGCUCUACUGCUGACCCUCUGCACCCCUAGGACUCCCAUUUGGCCCCAUUCUGAGCUGGUCUCCUGUCCCCAAGUGGGGCCAUAGUGGCUCUUCCUGCAGCUUCUGCCCAUCUUGCUGGGCCCCAUUGGACUUGUGGAGGUUCUUUCUGGAAGCCACUGCCCGCCCGCCAGCUCCCAUUGGGGGCCUGGGGUUGUUGUCAGAACUGGGGGUGUGCACAUACCUGCCCCCAGCGCUGGACACCCAGGUCCCCAAGGACCAGGAACACGCUGGAGCUGCAACACGUGGCCCACCCAGCUGCCUGCAGCAUGGUAGCGGGCACUCACGUGCCCCCUGAGACUGACCCACAGCAGGUCAGCCCCAGGCGAGCCGGCCCUGCUGCCCUGGACCUGCGGAGGGCUCUCCACAGUGAUGCUGGGAGACGGGAUGAGCAGAAACAGCAGGCUUCGGGUGCCGCCAACGCGAGCCCUGCUGGGGGCUGGAGGGCAGGCAAGAGCCCUUCUCAGAGACCAGCCUGUCCAGCCUGACCUGUGCUGUGGAGGCAAAAGCCAGAGGAGUGGUGUGGUGCCCUGAGAUGAUCUCUGACACAGCUACAGAAUGAAGUCGUUCAAUUUCCAGAGAGUGCCUGAGUGCCAGCCUGUGUGUUCGUGUCUGUUGUGGGAGAUUUCAAAUCUCUGAACUUGCUUCACGAAAAUGUAUUUGUGACCCUAAAACCAGCAGUCGAUUUCAUGGUCAUUUGCAGAGCGGCAGGGAUUUCGAGGCCCCGACACGCCCGUCCCUGGCCUCUGCUCUGAACAAGAGUCCUCCCGGCCUGGAGGCUCAGUGCAUGAGUCCCGCCACCUUGGCUGCACCUACGAUGCCCUCCUCCUCGCGGGAUCUUUUCCAAUGGGCUUGCAUCUCGUUGUGCUGCCCAUGGCACCAGGGUGAGCCACAAGUCAGAGGGACCCAGGCCCCAUGUGUGAGUCUGUGGGGACACCGUCGCCUUCCUGUCCUCCUUCAGGCAUGCCAGCUAGGGUGCUCCCGGGUGAGCUGGCCUGGGGUACCCCCACCUCUCUUUCAGGAUGGGAGGGUCUGGGCCUGGGCGUUGUUGACUUGUGGACUUGGGACUUGCCCCACACCGAGCCCCUCCGCCUCUGGACGGGACGCCGUUGCCGGCCCCGCGGAGUCCAUGGGGUCAUAGGUUCCUUGGGAGGCCUGAAGUGGCGCCCUCCACCUGGCCCCGCCCCCAUGACUUCCCGCCUGGUGGCCACCCCCAGGGCAGCGGGUGGUCAGUGGACUGCAUCUGGUGUUUGCCCACACCCCUUUCUGCUAGACUGUGAUCUCCUCAGGGCUGAGUCUUUUCAUUGUUUUAUCCCCUAGUCAUGGCUGAACAAUUGUAGCAGCCACUGGGCAAUAAAGGCCUCUGCUGGGCACUUUGAAAAAUGAUCUGAUUUAGUCCUUAUAAAAAUCUAUGAAUUCAUAAUAUGUCUCUAUUUUAAAGUUGUAAAUACCAAGGCUCAAGAGGUUAAGAUACUUGCUCACGGUUACCAAGCUAGUGACAGCUUAACCACGAACACAAAACAACAGCCUUAUUAUUUUGAAAAAAAUGCUUGUUUUUAAAAUAUCAAGUUGUGCAGAAAAAAAAUCAUAGAAGUCUGUAAAAGUCACU